UCGAGAAUCUUUCGCAAUGGGCGCAAGCCUGACGAAGCGACGCCGUGUGAGCGAAGAAGGCCUUCGGGUUGUAAAGCUCUUUCGCUAGGGAACAAGAGAGACGCGUGAAUAACGCGUUAAUUUGAUGGUACUUGGUAAAGAAGCACCGGCUAACUCCGUGCCAGCAGCUGCGGUAAUACGGAGGGUGCAAGCAUUGAUCGGAAUUACUGGGCGUAAAGGGCGCGUAGGCGGCUAGGAAAGUCAGAUGUGAAAUUCCGGAGCUCAACUCCGGAGCUGCAUUUGAAACUUCCUGACUAGAGGUCAGUUAGGGAAAACGGAAUUCCACGUGUAGCGGUGAAAUGCGUAGAUAUGUGGAAGAACACCGGUGGUGAAGACGGUUUUCUGGGCUGAUACUGACGCUGAGGCGCGAAAGCAAGGGGAGCAAACAGG
rnacentral:rRNA from 1 species